UUUUAUAUGUUAAAACCAGCUGAGACUUCAAAAUAUUUAAAUUUAAUUAAAAUCUGUUCAAUUUWAAAGUAUUAAAACUGUUCCAGCUAUGAAACUUUGUCUUCUGCUACUUUUAGCUAAUCCUCUACUAUUUUAGCUCUUGCUACUCUUUGGUAUUAUUAUUUAACUAGCUUUUUGCUAUAUUCAGCCUUUAGCCAUAAUGCUAAUAUUAUUACCUUUUUGACAUUUUGUGUUUGGGCUAUCCUUCUGCUACUAUUAGCUUUUAGCUAGCUAUUUUCUACAUGUAGAUCUCAGCUGUUUUGAUUCUAUUAAAUGUAGCUAGCUUUUUAAUAUCUUUAGCAUUUAGCUGUGAUACUGUUACCAUUUUGCCACCUUUAAGUUUUAACUAUGCUUUUGCUAGCCUACUAUUAACUUUUUGCUAGCCUGUAUCACAUACUUGUUAGCUACUAUUUGGUACUACGAGCUUUAGCAAUCUUUUAGCUACCUUCAGCAUUUAAUUAUAAUACUAAGCAUUACCUUUUACGCCACUUUUAGUUUUAGCUACCCUUUUGCCUCGCACAUGAAAAGCUGCAGAAACACGAGGAUUGUCACAAGGAGGACUGGACGUCAGAGGCCGAUGUGAGGAGUGGCUGCAGCUGUGGAGUUAACCCCGCUGCUCCUUCCCAGACAUCAAUGAACAGAACCGAACAGAACCAGACACUGAGGUACCCCCCACCCCCUCAGAUGACGUAAUGCCUUGCACGUGCCUUGCGGCCGUCCGGCAGGGGGCGUCAACUUCCGUCCGGUAACGUCACCGAGGAGGUGCCGGUCCCGCGGUGACGUCUGCUGCUCGUGGUGCAGGAUUCUGUCAUCAUUUGGGUCGUGACUGGACUCUACAGAACCGAGUCGUGUUGGAGCAGCAGAGCCUCGUGAGGCUGAGAAUAAAUCAUGAAAUAAAAAUAAAUUCUGACUUUA